rnacentral:lncRNA from 1 species
AUUGUCUUCAUUUCUGUAUGCUUUGCCAGAUACUUCAUUCACACUAUGAAUCAAAGUCCUGGCUUCCUCCUCAAGGAGCAUCUCCUAGCAAAAGCAUCCAGAGUUCGGGCUUCUUUGGAGGAGCUUCACAGGGAGUUUAACAGAAUUCUGGGUGGAAUGAGGUGAGGAAAGCAGAGGCUUUCUGAUUAGGCGUGAGUAUCCAUGGGACUCCUGAGACCUGAUAUCUAGAAGAUGAAACCAGUAGCUCAUCUCUCUCAAAGAAGCCAGAUUCGUGGGGCUCCUGCCUGGCUAUAGGUAUGAAGAGGUG